CUGGGGAGGAGAAAAUGUAGGGUUUCAACCAAUGCCCAUUCCUCAGCUUGCUCAGCCAAACCAGCAACCACCAAUAUGGAGAAACCAUCCAAAAGCCAGCCACAAGAAUCUUGGACAAUGCACACUAUGGCAUUCCAAAUCUUGAAGUUCUCAAAUAGAGCUGUUGCUCUGUCUUUUGUUUGAUGCUGCUUGAGGGGCAUCUUCCUAAAGAUGGUGUUGCUUCGAUCCUUCCAGAUGCACCAUAGCGUCGUCGCUACCAAUUCAAACUGAGGGAAUUCUCUCGCCACAAUUGGGAUGUCCAUGGGUGUAGUAGCAGUGUGUGUUCUACCGUUUUUGGUUCCUGUUUGCCAAUCAGGCAUGCUGGUUCAAGUACGAUCAUUCUUCUAUACAAGUUAUCUAGAGUAGGUAAGGCGUUAUGACAUGUGUUCCAUAGGAAGAUUUU